rnacentral:rRNA from 1 species
AAUUCGAUUAGAGUUUGAUCCUGGCUCAGAUUGAACGCUGGCGGCGUGCUUAACACAUGCAAGUCGUGCGAGAAAGGUUCCUUCGGGGACUGAGUAGGGCGGCGCACGGGUGAGUAACGCGUGGGUGACCUACCCAGGAGACCGGGAUAACAGUGGGAAACUGCUGCUAAUACCGGGUACGCUUCAUAUUUCACGUAUGGGGGAAAGGCGGCCUCUGCUUGCAAGCUGCCACUCUUGGAUGGGCCCGCGUCUCAUUAGCUUGUUGGUAGGGUAACGGCCUACCAAGGCGACGAUGAGUAGCUGGUCUGAGAGGAUGAUCAGCCACACUGGGACUGUAUCUUUUGCCCAGACUCCUACGGGAGGCAGCAGUGGGGAAUAUUGCGCAAUGGGCGAAAGCCUGACGCAGCGACGCCGCGUGAGGGAAGAAGGCCUUCGGGUCGUAAACAUCUGUCAGGAGGGAAGAAACCCUGGCAGUCGAAUAGGCUCUCCUGCUGACGGCACCUCCCGGAGGAAGCAC